rnacentral:rRNA from 1 species
UACGUAGGGUGCGAGCGUUGUCCGGAAUUAUUGGGCGUAAAGAGCUCGUAGGCGGCUUGUCGCGUCGGAUGUGAAAGCCCGGGGCUUAACUCCGGGUCUGCAUUCGAUACGGGCAGGCUAGAGUUCGGUAGGGGAGAUCGGAAUUCCUGGUGUAGCGGUGAAAUGCGCAGAUAUCAGGAGGAACACCGGUGGCGAAGGCGGAUCUCUGGGCCAAAACUGACGCUGAGGAGCGAAAGCGUGGGGAGCGAACAGG